rnacentral:rRNA from 1 species
GUGUAUGGCCAUACCACCCUGAAAGCGCCUGAUCUCGGAAGCUAAGCAGGGACGGGCUUGGUUAGUACCUGGAUGGGAGACCGCCUGGGAAUACCAGGUGUUGUAUGUU